CCUACGGGUGGCUGCAGUGAGGAAUCUUCGGCAAUGGACGAGAGUCUGAACGAGCCACGUAGCGUGAAGGAUGACUGCCCUAUGGGUUGUAAACUUCUUUUAUAUGGAAAUAAAAUGUUCCACGUAUGUGAUUUUGUAUGUACCAUAUCAAUAAGGAUCGGCUAACUCCGUUCCAGCAGCCGCGGUAAUACGGAGGAUCCGAGCGUUAUCCGGAUUUAUUGGGUUUAAAGGGCGCGUAGGUUGAUUGUUAAGUCAGUUGUGAAAGUUUGCGGCUCAACCGUAAAAUUGCAGUUGAAACUGGCAGUCUUGAGUACAGUAGAGGUGGGCGGAAUUCGUGGUGUGGCGGUGAAAUGCU
rnacentral:rRNA from 1 species